rnacentral:rRNA from 1 species
UGCAAGUCGAGCGGAAACGAUGUAGCUUGCUACAGGCGUCGAGCGGCGGUGGGAGAGUAACGCGUAGGAACCUACCUAGUAGUUUGGGAUAGCCCAGAGAAAUUUGGAUUAAUACCGAAUACGCCCCACGGGGGAAAGCGGAGGAUCUUCGGACUUCGCGCUAUUAGAUGGGCCUGCGUAAGAUUAGCUUGUUGGUGAGGUAAUGGCUCACCAAGGCAACGAUCUUUAGCUGGUUUGAGAGGAUGAUCAGCCACACUGGGACUGAGACACGGCCCAGACUCCUACGGGAGGCAGCAGUGGGGAAUAUUGCACAAUGGGCGAAAGCCUGAUGCAGCCAUACCGCGUGUGUGAAGAAGGCUCUAGGGUUGUAAAGCACUUUCAGUAGGGAGGAAAGGUUGUAGAUUAAUACUCUGCAGCUGUGACGUUACCUACAGAAGAAGGACCGGCUAACUCCGUGCCAGCAGCUGCGGUAAUACGGAGGGUCCGAGCGUUAAUCGGAAUUACUGGGCGUAAAGCGUACGUAGGUGGUUUGUUAAGUUGGAUGUGAAAGCCCCGGGCUCAACCUUG